GUAGCUCAGCUGGGAGAGCGCCCGGCUGAAGACCGGGAUGUCCGGGGUUCAAGUCCCC
rnacentral:tRNA from 1 species